AGGUUUGCACAGACUCCCUGAGGUCAGCCACGCAGAGAAAAAUAAGAGCAACAAUGGAGAAGUAUUAAGAAGAUCAUUAAUGCCAUUAUUCUGAAUAGCAAGUUGGAAGAGAGAUGUCCAGAAGCCACAUAAAAGUCCUGGGCCUCCAUUUGUCUUCACUGUAUAAAGAAAAUCAGUCUUUACCUGUUUGAAAUACCUACUCAAAUAUUUAUGGAUGGAAUGAUGUGACAUCAGGAAUUUGCUGUAAAAAUCACCAACAAAGCUAAGUAAAGGUGGGAUAAAACAAGAAUGGCAGAAUGUUAACUGUUGGAGCCAGUGACAGGUACAUGGGGAUUCACUGCAGUAUGUUUCCUACUUCUGUGUAUGUUUGAAAAAUUUAAAGUUAAAAAUAAAUACACUGAUCACCUGUAGUUAGUUUCUCACACAUAUACUCUUUUUUUUUUCUUUUCAGUUUUUUCCUUUUCUCUUUUUUUCACUUGCAAAAGCAGUAGGUUCUUGUAAAAAUGUAAAACAAUACAGAGAGCUGUAACUCCACUCUCCAUUAAUACUAGUGAAGACUUGUGUGUUUCUUAUAACCACCUCCCUAUGCAGGAGCCUGCCUCCAUUUCCCCCACUCAGGCCAGCUGCUCGCCUAAUUCAGCGAACUGGUGUCCUGGACCAAGUGCGGAGCAGGGAGCUAUUGUCGCAGAGAUGAAGGGCCCGGGAGAGGGGGUAAUUGGGUGCAUCUUGCCAUGCGGUGCCCACACUGGCCUUUUCCAGGGGCUGCCUCAAGGCAUUGGCCAACUUGGGGGAAGGUAGAUGCAUAAACAGUCACAUCAUAUUGAGUAUAAGAAGUCAGAGAGAGAUGCAUAAAAAACCUUUGGUGACACAGAGAAGAAAGCACUCAGGGUGGUUUCCCCAGGAGAUGAUAUUUGAACUGGAUCUUGGAGAAAGAGUAGAAUUCACCAGGCAGAGCUGGUGGAAGACUUUCUAAGUGCAGGAGAAAGCUCUAAAAUUCCCAAGGGCAAGCUAUGUUCCAGGAAUUGGGAACUCUGAGCAGAGAGGGGAUAUGCAAUGGGGGUGAUGGGAGAGCAGGUUAGAGGGUAGCUGGUGGGCCAGAAUGAAGGGUCUGCUGACACCACAGUGAGGGGGUUGGUCCUUGUCCUCCAGACGGUGACACUGCAGAGCCAGGGAAAAGAGCCAGGCCAGACUGCACUUGGGAAGAACACUUGGGGGAAGAGUAUUUGGAUGAUGCCACUGGAGAUGGACAACAGAGACUAAGUUCUGAAGAGUUCAGAAGCAGAUUGAACAGGAAUUGGCAACUAACUGGACAUGAGGAAGACCACUACUCAGUCCACUACAACACCAAACAAAGGGAAAGGGAGAAGAUGAGGAAGCCACACGGAGCAUGCAUUCAAACCUGCAAGAAUUCAUGGGACAAUGUAGGGACUGGAGUUACUCAGCCAAAUCAUAGCAGUAAGGGCCAUGGGAUUCUGAAUGGGCCUACGGUGUGGCAGUAGUAGGGCAGGGGAAGAAGGGGCCCUAGCUUGCGACCUGCCUUCCACGGGCGCCCAGAGGAGGCCCCAGGUGGCUGGAAUGGCAGGUCCCAGGGAGAGAGCCAGGUCGUCAGUGCUCUCCCCAUGUACCCACCCGCUUCUGCCCACCCCUCUCAGUUACCCCUGCUGGCAGCCAAUGGAUAACUCAGCUUUUUACAUUCCUGGGGAUGUGAGCAAGGCAGCCUAUGCUGAGCUGGAAGCUCUCCCAGCAGCCUGUCAGUCCAAGACUUUGCCCUCCUGCCUUUUGGAGGUCAGCCAACUCUGGAGGUCCACAACUGGUUUGUGAGCACAGGAUCCAGAACUUCACUUUCUUCUGCUAUUACUGCUGAUAAUUACAGAAGGAAAAGCCCUCCAGAACUUAGUUCACACAAUCUGAUACAAGGAUCAGAAGAAGGCACACCAAGUACGAAAAUUCUAAAAGUUCCUUUCUCCAAGGAAGAAAAUAUUGAAUGCAUCAUCAUUCCCAACUUUGCAAGGAGCAGUUCCUUAAGAUAUUAAUGUCUCCUCUCUCCAAGACAUCCAUGCCAAUCACGGACAUAAACCGAAACGAUGUAUCAGCGACAGCCACCACGACAACUUCAGAGGCCUGAGCUCGGAGGCCUCUAGUCAAGGCCACACCUAUGGUACGUGUCCAUUUUUCAAGCCUGGAGUCCAUUAACCGUUGAAAGUCAAACUUCUCCCCACAGUGCUAGGAAGAGAAAAUAUCUGGCAAGUGUGGCCUGCAAAAGUUCUGUGGAUGAGUAGAGGGGCUGAACUUGAGCAGGUAACUGUUGAGUGUGCACCUUUGUACCUUGUGUUGAUCACUCUGCUGGAUGUGAAGAUGGAGCCAUGGAUGGCAAUCCAACAAGGCCCUGCUUUCGCAGAGUGAGGAGAUGCGAAAUUAUCACAAAUAAUUGUAAUUCUAUUUUAUAUACAGAGCAAGAGUGUGGGCUGUCAGGGAGGCACUUUGCACCACUAACAGAUGAUUCAAAUGGAAACACAGGACAUAAGUACUUCACCCCCAGUGAUAAGGAAAUCUCCAGUGGGUCUCCUCUGAAGGAUUCAUCCUCCCUCACCCACCUGCCCUCACAGUGGGUGGAGAUCCAUGCCACUGCAGGAACUACAAAUAUUUUAAACAAAUCUCCAGAAAGGUUUUGGGGCUGUGUGCCCAGUGAGGCCAGAGGGGCUCCCAGAACCUACCCAGAUCCCAGAGGGAUACUGCAGGGUAGACGAAAGAUGCUCCUGCAAAGACAAACACAGAAGAAGCAGGUUCCCAGGGCUGAGAUCAGAAAGUAAGACUCUAAUCACCUCAUACUGGUUAGAAUGGCUAUUACCAAAAAAGCAAAAGAAUAAAUGUCUUCAAGGACGUGGAGAAACGGAAGUCCUGUAUGUUGUUGGCGGGAAUGUAAAAUGAUAUAGCUGCUAUGGAAAACAGUAAGGUGGUUUCUCAGAAAGAAAUCAGCAUCUCAAAGGUUCACUGCCAACAGCCAAAAUGUGGAAACAAACUAAAUGUCCCUCAGUGGAUGACUAGAUAAAGAAAAUGUGAUAUAAACAUAUGGUGGAAUGUUUUUCAGCCUUAAUAAAAUAAGGAAAUUCUUCUCAGAGCUGAGUAGUUGUGACAGAGAUGAUAUACCCUACAAGGCUACAAUUCCUGACCCCCCCUUGCACAGGUAUGUCAGCACAAGUACAGUCAUCUUGGUAUUCUCCACAUUUCUGUUCUUGAUAGUCUCCUACUGGAAAACUUGAAACGUUCCUCUACUGCCUAAUAGUCUCACUCCACAGACUGGGCUUAGCCUUAUUUGUCCCAAUUCUAAUUCACAUGUUCCAAGGCAAAAAGGCAGUAACCAGGCACAUGUGACUAUUUAAAUGUAAAUCUAAAGUAAUAACAUCUGGCCCUUUUUAAAAAGAACUCUACCAGUCCUUGCUUUAGAUUCCUCAGUCCCCUUCUCACCACACCAGAGUGUCUCAAACACCUUACAUGGACUACUUUGGAAAAGGGCCAAAACCCCAAUAGCAAGCCCAUAUGCUAAGAACACCAAAGUGCACUUAUAAGCACCUAUGUGAGCCAGACUCUGUUUUGGAAAUUUCAUUACAUUUAGCCCUCACAUCAACUUUGUGAGAUAGCA